UACGUAGGGUGCAAGCGUUGUCCGGAAUUAUUGGGCGUAAAGAGCUCGUAGGCGGUUUGUCGCGUCUGCUGUGAAAACUGGAGGCUCAACCUCCAGCCUGCAGUGGGUACGGGCAGACUAGAGUGCGGUAGGGGAGAUUGGAAUUCCUGGUGUAGCGGUGGAAUGCGCAGAUAUCAGGAGGAACACCGAUGGCGAAGGCAGGUCUCUGGGCCGCAACUGACGCUGAGGAGCGAAAGCAUGGGGAGCGAACAGG
rnacentral:rRNA from 1 species